rnacentral:misc_RNA from 1 species
GCUCCGUAGGUGAACCUGCGGAGGGAUCAUUACAGAGUUCAUGCCCUACCGGGUAGAUCUCCCACCCUAUGUUAUUAUUACUUUGUUGCUUUGGCGGGCCGUUAGGCUCCGGCCCGACUACCGGCCCCGGCUGGUAAGCGCCCGCCAGAGGGCCCAAAACCCUGAAUAUUAGUGUCGUCUGAGUACUAUAUAAUAGUUAAAACUUUCAACAACGGAUCUCUUGGUUCUG